rnacentral:rRNA from 2 species
CGCCCUCUUCGGAGGGAGUGGCAGACGGGUGAGUAACGCGUGGGCAACCUGCCCCAUACAGAGGGAUAGCCACUGGAAACGGUGAUUAAUACCUCAUAAGACCACAGCGUCGCAUGGUGCGGCGGUCAAAGAUUUAUCGGUAUGGGAUGGGCCCGCGUCUGAUUAGCUAGUUGGUGAGGUAACGGCUCACCAAGGCGACGAUCAGUAGCCGACCUGAGAGGGUGAUCGGCCACACUGGAACUGAGACACGGUCCAGACUCCUACGGGAGGCAGCAGUGGGGAAUAUUGCACAAUGGGCGCAAGCCUGAUGCAGCAACGCCGCGUGAGUGAUGAAGGCCUUCGGGUCGUAAAGCUCUGUCCUAUGGGAAGAAACAAAUGACGGUACCAUAGGAGGAAGCCCCGGCUAACUACGUGCCAGCAGCCGCGGUAAUACGUAGGGGGCAAGCGUUAUCCGGAAUCACUGGGCGUAAAGGGUGCGUAGGCGGUCUGUCAAGUCAGAAGUGAAAGGCAAUGGCUUAACCAUUGUAAGCUUUUGAAACUGAUGGACUUGAGUGCAGGAGAGGUAAGUGGAAUUCCUAGUGUAGCGGUGAAAUGCGUAGAUAUUAGGAGGAACACCAGUG